ACUUAAAUUGAAGAGUUUGAUCAUGGCUCAGAUUGAACGCUGGCGGCAGGCCUAACACAUGCAAGUCGAGCGGUAGCACAGAGAGCUUGCUCUCGGGUGACGAGCGGCGGACGGGUGAGUAAUGUCUGGGAAACUGCCUGAUGGAGGGGGAUAACUACUGGAAACGGUAGCUAAUACCGCAUAACGUCGCAAGACCAAAGUGGGGGACCUUCGGGCCUCAUGCCAUCAGAUGUGCCCAGAUGGGAUUAGCUAGUAGGUGGGGUAACGGCUCACCUAGGCGACGAUCCCUAGCUGGUCUGAGAGGAUGACCAGCCACACUGGAACUGAGACACGGUCCAGACUCCUACGGGAGGCAGCAGUGGGGAAUAUUGCACAAUGGGCGCAAGCCUGAUGCAGCCAUGCCGCGUGUGUGAAGAAGGCCUUCGGGUUGUAAAGCACUUUCAGCGGGGAGGAAGGCGUUAAGGUUAAUAACCUUGGCGAUUGACGUUACCCGCAGAAGAAGCACCGGCUAACUCCGUGCCAGCAGCCGCGGUAAUACGGAGGGUGCAAGCGUUAAUCGGAAUUACUGGGCGUAAAGCGCACGCAGGCGGUCUGUCAAGUCGGA
rnacentral:rRNA from 1 species